rnacentral:misc_RNA from 1 species
GGCGAUUGAAGAUGGACUCAGUGAUUUUCCUGAGGCAAUUCUAGUUCACAUUCUUUCUAUGUUGCCGGACGGUAAAGAAAUAGUGAGAAGUAGUGUGUUAGCUAAGCGAUGGAGGUAUCUUUGGAGGUCUGUUCCAAUAUCCCUGGAUUUUAGCCACCCUGAGAAUGCUUAUUUUGGUCGCCCUGAGUUGGGGGAAUUGGAGAUUUUCGAUUUCGUGAAUUCCAUCCAUAGGGAGCUUCUGUAUUGGGGGUCUGGUCAGAAAAUCAGAAAAUUUAAGAUGGCUGUCAAUUUUUCUGCUCCGGAUAGGUUCGAUAAAGAUAUCGAUUUGUGGGUUUAUUUUGCGAUGAAGAAAGCUAAUGUUGAGGAUCUUACUUUUGAGUGUU